UACAGAGGUGGCAAGCGUUGUUCGGAAUUACUGGGCGUAAAGGGCGCGUAGGCGGCCUCUUAAGUCGAACGUGAAAUCCCCAGGCUCAACCUGGGAACUGCGUCUGAUACUGGAUGGCUUGAAUCCGGGAGAGGGAUGCAGAAUUCCAGGUGUAGCGGUGAAAUGCGUAGAUAUCUGGAGGAAUACCGGUGGCGAAAGGCGGCAUCCUGGACCGGCAUUGACGCUGAGGAGCGAAAGCGUGGGGAGCAAACAGG
rnacentral:rRNA from 1 species